UCUUAUGGAUGAGCAAAGAAGAGUGGUUUCUUGAGAUGGAAGCUACUUCUGGUGAAGAAUGCUGUGAA
rnacentral:pre_miRNA from 1 species